GGAGGAAUAUUGGUCAAUGGGCGGGAGCCUGAACCAGCCAAGCCGCGUGAGGGAGGAAGGCCCUAUGGGUCGUAAACCUCUUUUGUCAGGGAACAAAAGCGAGUAUGUAUACUAGUCUGAGUGUACCUGAAGAAAAAGCAUCGGCUAACUCCGUGCCAGCAGCCGCGGUAAUACGGAGGACGCGAGCGUUAUCCGGAUUUAUUGGGUUUAAAGGGUGCGUAGGCGGCGGUGCAAGUCAGCGGUAAAAGCCCGGGGCUCAACCCCGGCGAGCCGUUGAAACUGCAGUGCUAGAGAAGGCGAGAGGUACGCGGAAUGCGCAGUGUAGCGGUGAAAUGCUUAGAUAUUGCGCAGAACUCCGAUUGCGAAGGCAGCGUACUGGCGUCUGACUGACGCUGAGGCACGAAAGCGUGGGGAUCGAACAGGAUUAGAUACCC
rnacentral:rRNA from 1 species